AGGGCUUCCAGCUGCGCCGGCUCAGGGAUCCAGGACAGCCUCCUCCAGGGCUGGAGGCCGCUGUGGCAGGAGCCCUCGGUGGCAGGCUGCGCUGCGCGUGGCGGGGCUUCUGCCUGUCCAGUUGGAAUUGCCUGUCAUGGAGGAGCACGGAGGGGAACAAGCCAGGCAAGGAAGACAAAAUGUCUGCCAACCGGGAGCAUGCCGGCUUCUUUUGUUGUUCGUAUAAAUUUUGUAUUCUCCUCCACCGUUUGCGGAAGAAAACAUGUCGGCUCCUUUUAGUUUUUUUUAUUUGGUUUGUAUAUAUAGAUAUUUUUAA